CCUACGGGGGGCAGCAGUGGGGAAUCUUCCGCAAUGGACGAAAGUCUGACGGAGCAACGCCGCGUGUAUGAUGAAGGUCUUCGGAUUGUAAAGUACUGUCUUUGGGGAAGAACGACUGAUUUGAGAAUAUUGAGUCAGUAUGACGGUACCCAAGGAGGAAGCCCCGGCUAACUACGUGCCAGCAGCCGCGGUAAUACGUAGGGGGCAAGCGUUGUCCGGAAUUAUUGGGCGUAAAGGGCGCGUAGGCGGAUAGUUAAGUCCGGUGUGAAAGAUCAGGGCUCAACCCUGAGAGUGCAUCGGAAACUGGUUAUCUUGAGGACAGGAGAGGAAAGUGGAAUUCCUAGUGUAGCGGUGAAAUGCGUAGAUAUUAGGAGGAACACCAGUGGCGAAGGCGACUUUCUGGACUGUAACUGACGCUGAGGCGCGAAAGCGUGGGGAGCAAACAGGAUUAGAUACCCCUGUAGUC
rnacentral:rRNA from 1 species